AGUGUAGGGCUGGCGUCCCGGCAGUGGGCGCGCGGCGCUCGUGCGCGUGUGGGAGCCCGCGGGGUCUCAGUCCGCGCGCCAGGCAUGUGCGGGACCCUAGAGGUCACCUGCAGCGGUGCGGGUCGGGCCCUUUCUGCAACCGGUUUCUGGUUUUGGCAUUCGUUCUUUCAGGGCCACUUGGGCAAAGUGCUACCCAAGGGGACGGAAAUGUGAGCGCGCGCGCGAGUGGCAGUGUGGGCGGGCGUGUCUUUUGUGUGGCGUGCGCUCCCGCGCAGGUGGGCAGCUCGCGCCCAGCAGUCACAAUACCAAUGGGGCCCAGGAUCUCGAGCCUUUGGUUCCGCGUCCCAGGGUUGGGCCGCCCUGUGGUACAGAUACCUUGUACAGUAUACCGUCCACCUAGUGGUCGCGUCGGCUCCAGGGAUGCUUUAUUUGGGGGCAGUAACGGGACUUUAGAAGGACCGCUCUUUGGAGCUUGGCGGCUGGCAUCACAGUUGGGCGCCUUUUCUUCUCAACCUGGAGAGGAAAGAGACUUGAGGACAGUGGUUGUCCUCGGCUGAUAGGUACAUAUAAAUGUCCCGAGCCAGCCGGUCCCGCAUUA
rnacentral:lncRNA from 1 species